CAAUAAUCACAAGCAUAGCAGGCAUUGAUGCCAUAGCUCUUAAUUGUCUUAGGAAUUAAGACAGGCGGCAUCAGUACCUGCUAAGCUUGUUGAUGAAAAGAAUUGUUAAAAAGAGUUUAUCAGGGCUGGGCGCAGUGGCUCACGCCUGUAAUCCCAGCACUUUGGGAGGCCAAGGUGGGUGGACCACAAGGUCAGGAGAUCGAGACCAUCCUGGCUAAUACGGUGAAACGCCGUCUCU
rnacentral:lncRNA from 1 species